ACUGAGGUUGACUGUGAGGUAACUGAAACCACGGAAAGCAAAACUGCCAACAAGAAUCCUGAAUGUCUCAGAUUGAUUUCAAACAAAUGCAGCAACAAAUCAAGGUGUUCUUCCUUGGGAAGUGAUGGGUGUUUUGCCUACUGUCAAUCUCUGGACAAAGUUGGUGCCCCACCUACAUCCCUUCAGCACUCCCUGGAGAUCAGCUGCAGCUUCCCAUGUACACUACUGUGAAUCCCUUAAGCACCGUGUCUUUAUGUCUAAGAGAGCAGUCUGACCCGUGAGUGGUACAGGGCAAACGUGCUGGAGAAUUAAUGUUCCCAUAAGCAACUAUCAACCAAUGAGGGAUUGAGGCUGGUAGAUAAAAUUCUGUAGCAGGCUUUGUAGGUCCUGGAAUUCUGAGGUGUACUCUAUAUGGUCUCUCAGAGGGCACCUUUCCCCAGUUUUCCUACUUCCUCAUUUUGCUGCCUCCUAAAUAAACUUCUAAAACCCA
rnacentral:lncRNA from 10 species